rnacentral:lncRNA from 1 species
GUGCUAUUUAUCGACGGAUUUAUUUAUGACAGUAUGGAAGAUGCUGUAAACUUUGGUCCACUUGAAGAAUCACUUGGGGGUGCAAUGACUAAACAAGCGAACGGUGUAUGGCUGUUUGAAGAUCACGAUGUGACUUUGACAGUAGGGAAUGUAUUCAGAUUUGUCAUUUUUGUCCCUGACCAAUUUCCAAAUGCAGAUAUCAGAAAUGGACGAACCAGUCUACUGUUUAAUGGUGCAUUGUCUGAUUCCAAAUUUUAUUACGUUGAAGCUCUGUAGACCCGUCAGACCCGCCACCGUAUUGCAAGAAUACUGUCACCAAGGUCCGCGGCAGACACGUGUGCGCUGGUGACGUAAUUUUUGAGGACAAUUUGACACACUUCAAGAGUCUCAGUGGCAGAUCGAACAUUAUAUACCCACAGAUCAUCCAGAAUAUCCAUUUGUGUCAUAUCAAAGGUUAACCUCGAAACCAAAUGUGUUCGUGGAAAACGGAAACCUGCACAUUGUUCCCAAACUACAGGAUGAAUUGAUGAGUGAUCACAAUCUGGCAAUUGAAACUGGAUCACUUGAUUUAACAGAUGGUUGUACAAGAAAUGAGUGCUCAAAAGUGGCUUUUGGGCCGGAUAUACUGCCGCCGAUAGUAAGCGGUCGUCUGACCAGCAUACCUUUC